rnacentral:rRNA from 1 species
GACGAACGCUGGCGGCGUGCUUAACACAUGCAAGUCGAACGGAAAGGCCCUGCUUUUGUGGGGUGCUCGAGUGGCGAACGGGUGAGUAACACGUGAGUAACCUGCCUUUGACUUUGGGAUAACCUCAGGAAACUGGGGCUAAUACCGGAUAGGAGCUCUUGCUGCAUGGUGGGGGUUGGAAAGUUUCGGCGGUAGGGGAUGGACGCGCGGCUUAUCAGCUUGUUGGUGGGGUAGGGGCUUACCAAGGCUUUGACGGGUAGCCGGCCUGAGAGGGUGACCGGCCACAUUGGGACUGAGGUACGGCGCAGACGCGUACGGGAGGCAGCGGUGGAGAGUAUUGCGGAAUGGGCGGACGCGUGAUGCAGCGACGCCGCGUGCGGAAUGACGGCCUUCGAGUUAUGAACCAGUUUCGCCUGAAACGAAGCGUGAGUGACGGUAAUGAGUAAGAAAGCCCCGGCUAACUACGUG